rnacentral:lncRNA from 1 species
UAUCACGCUGGGUACACACCUUAGGGUCUGGGUACUGUCUUGGUGCUCUCUGCCUGUUACAGUCCUUGGCAAUAUAUUCACGUCUGCACCACUAGAGCCUUUAUAUUGGUGUCAAAAUUUCGACUUCGUACUGAGGACUCCAUGAGUCUGCCUCCACCCCUCCUUCCUCCCCCGACUGCCACAGCACCGGUUACAGAGAUCAACUAUCGUGUUUCUUGUCUGUCCACCCGACUGUCCACCCGAGGACUGUAUGCCAGAGUCAGUGCUUGACCACGGUUUGGUGUAUAAUCAAUAUUGAACAUGGUAUUAUCAUUUUUCUGAAGUAUCAUCACACACAAUUUACCAGUAUUAUCAUCAUGGAAGCUUAAUAUAAAUACAAAUACAAAACAAAAAUAAUUUUCUGGAAACAAGAACAAUAAUGUAUUUCUAAAUUUCUACCUCUGAUUCUGUAAAGCUGAUGACAAGACCAUCAUCUAUCUAUCUACCCAUCCAUCCAUAUGCAUCCAUCUGUAUGUUUGCACGUGAUGCUGAGGAUAUCAACAGAAUUAAGAGGAACAUCCAAGACUUUACUCUAAAUUCGUGUUCACGUCGAAGAUGAAUUAUCACCAGGGGAAUAGAGUCAUUCAUGGUAGAGAAUAUUCAACAAAAUCUCAGAAAAGAGGAAAAAACAGAUUCAGUAAAGAUCUACCCUUAGUUUAGCUUUCCCCUUCUUACUUGUGCCUUUCAUAGCCUCAGUAUAUAGAAAUCUAUGGCUCAGAAGAAAACGUAAACAGUCCAGAUAAGAAGAUAAGAGUGUUGGGGUUUCCAGUUUCGUCUCAGACAUGUAAAUAGCCUGGAAGUCAUUAUUCCUGUUUUUACAGCAAUAAAACACAGAAUAAGCUGAAAAUAAGUGACUUCCUUGACCCAUUGUAAAAUUGAGGUUGCAUGGUGAAACUCCACCCCCAAAUCUAGAAGACAGGUAAAUACAGAAAACUAUAGUCAAGAUCGGUUUACCCAGAGUGGAAACCCCUGA